rnacentral:lncRNA from 1 species
CCCCUUCCAGUAGCAAUCUAUCACUCACUUGUGUGAUAUCUUGUAAUGAUAUUUCCUUUUGUGAUCUUGACUUAGAACGUGUUCUGUGCACUCUAGAUAUUUCCUUAAACUUUGUUUAUUACCUUUAGAUUCUAAUGAUUAUUCGUGCUUAUUUCCUCCUAGUCAUUACUCUUGUAUUCAAUAAAUGGCUUUCGUCACCCUUAGGUGUCGGCCAGCACGUGUUUAUCCAGGUAUUUGGGGAAUAUCGGGGUCGGGACGUGUCACGCAUGGUGAUCAAACUGA